UGUAAACAUCCUACACUCUCAGCUGUGGAAAGUGAAAAGGCUGGGAGAAGGCUGUUUACUCU
rnacentral:pre_miRNA from 1 species